AGUGAACGCUGGCGGUAGGCCUAACACAUGCAAGUCGAACGGCAGCACAGUAAGAGCUUGCUCUUACGGGUGGCGAGUGGCGGACGGGUGAGGAAUACAUCGGAAUCUACUUUUUCGUGGGGGAUAACGUAGGGAAACUUACGCUAAUACCGCAUACGACCUACGGGUGAAAGCAGGGGAUCUUCGGACCUUGCGCGAUUGAAUGAGCCGAUGUCGGAUUAGCUAGUUGGCGGGGUAAAGGCCCACCAAGGCGACGAUCCGUAGCUGGUCUGAGAGGAUGAACAGCCACACUGGGACCGAGGAAAGGGCCCGAAUCCUAAGGGAGGGAGGAGGGGGGAAUAAUGGAAAAAUGGCGGAAGCCCGAUUCAGCCAUGACGGGGGGGUGAAGAAGGCCUUCGGGUUGUAAAGCCCUUUUGUUGGGAAAGAAAAGCAGCAGGUUAAUACCCCGCUGUUCUGACGGUACCCAAAGAAUAAGCACCGGCUAACUUCGUG
rnacentral:rRNA from 1 species